rnacentral:rRNA from 3 species
UCCUCCAAGGCUAAAUACUCCUGACUGACCGAUAGUGAACCAGUACCGUGAGGGAAAGGCGAAAAGAACCCCGGCGAGGGGAGUGAAAAAGAACCUGAAACCGUGUACGUACAAGCAGUGGGAGCACAGGUUUACCUGUGUGACUGCGUACCUUUUGUAUAAUGGGUCAGCGACUUAUAUUCUGUAGCAAGGUUAACCGUAUAGGGGAGCCGUAGGGAAACCGAGUCUUAACCGGGCGUUAAGUUGCAGGGUAUAGACCCGAAACCCGGUGAUCUAGCCAUGGGCAGGUUGAAGGUUGGGUAACACUAACUGGAGGACCGAACCGACUAAUGUUGAAAAAUUAGCGGAUGACCUGUGGCU